CAUGCCCGCGCGCUCCCUCGACCCACUACCCGUACUCUAGUACACCAUACUUUGUUUACUCUAGAUGAGUGAGUGUUCUGUGCACGACUUCACGUGGUUCUGUGGUGGAGUUGUGGUGGCUGUGUUUACGGCACGUGGUGAGCGAGCAGGUAUACAAAUUCACUUCCCUGCCGCUGUCGCUUACGAGCACCUUCAAAGCUUCUGCUGAUCUGAGUUGUGCCCGUCAAGAUAUAGGCCAUCUCUGCACCUUUGACAACAAUUAGCCGCAAGUGCUGAUUGCUGCUGGUUGGCUCAGUCCAGAAACAGGCCUCACAAAUGCGAUGAGCCUAGCUGAAAGCAUCACUGCCAAAAGGGUACGCCACGCCCCUUCAAUGGUUGUUGGUCAGGUAGAGGUUGGCAUGCAGCACAGCUUGCCUCUGGCUGACAAAUCUGUUGGCUGUUCGUUGAAACCAGGGAGCGAGUCUAGGAGCGUGCAGACUACGGAGGCUGUGGAACAGUUAAGCUCCACAUCAGCAUCGAGGCCUUUAAUUUCUGCAUCAACUGCCAAAUGUGACAACUCAAAGCAAGGAUGCUUCCACCGAUGUCAGCUAUGUGACUAUGAGACUGAUGAACUAUUUCUUCUGGAAGAACAUGCCAGCGACCAUACUGGCGAGAAACUGUUUCAUUGCCCUUUAUGCCCUCAGAGCUUUCCACAGAAGCAGAGACUGAGAACCCACCUGCUCACCCACACAAUCAAGACGCCAUUUCAGUGCACUUCAUGCUUUCGGAGCUUCUCGGAUAAAGGUCACCUGAAAGUCCACUUGCGCAUCCAUACGGGCGAGAAACCGUUUCAUUGCCUUUUAUGCCCUCAGAGCUUUUCUCAAAAGUGCAGCCUGAAAACCCACCUGCUCAACCACACAGGCAAGAAGCCAUAUGAAUGCCCUUCAUGCUCUCAACGCUUCUCGCGCAAGUCUUACUUGAAAGCCCACCUGUACAGCCACACAGGCGAGAAGCCAUAUCAGUGCCCUUCAUGCUCUCGGUGCUUCUCACGAAAGUACGACCUGAAAGUGCACCUCCUCACUCACUCAGGCGAGAAGCCAUUUGAGUGCCCUUCAUGCUCGCAGAGCUUCUCACAAAAGGGCAGUCUCAGGAGACAUGAGACGAGAAGCCAUUUCAGUGCCCACUCUGCCUUCAGAGAUUCUCGUUGAAGAAUGCCCUGGAGAUACACCAGUGCAUUCAUACAGGUGACCGGCCAUAAAGUUGCACCGUCUGCUCCAGGUCCUCAUCACUUGAACAGAUUAAAGAGAGCACAGCACCAUGGUGCUGUAAUCAUCGAGGCCUUUAAUUUCUGCAUCAACUGCCAAAUGUGACGACUCAAAGCAAGGAUGCUUCCACCGAUGUCAGCUAUGUGACUAUGAGACUGAUGAACUAUUUCUUCUGGAAGAACAUGCCAGCGACCAUACUGGCGAGAAACUGUUUCAUUGCCCUUUAUGCCCUCAGAGCUUUCCACAGAAGCAGAGACUGAAAACCCACCUGCUCACCCACACAAUCAAGACGCCAUUUCAGUGCACUUCAUGCUUUCGGAGCUUCUCGGAUAAGGCUCGCCUGAAAGCCCACUUGCGCAUCCAUACGGGCGAGAAACCGUUUCAUUGCCUUUUAUGCCCUAAGAGCUUUUCUCAAAAGUGCAACCUGAAAACCCACCUGCUCACCCACACAGGCGAGAAGCCAUAUGAAUGCCCUUCAUGCUCUCAACGCUUCUCGCGCAAGCCUUACUUGAAAGCCCACCUGUACAGCCACACAGGCGAGAAGCCAUAUCAGUGCCCUUCAUGCUCUCGGGGCUUCUCACGAAAGGGCGACCUGAAAGUGCACCUCCUCACUCACUCAGGCGAGAAGCCAUUUGAGUGCCCUUCAUGCUCGAAGAGCUUCUCACGAAAGGGCAGUCUCAGGAGACAUGAGACGAGAAGCCAUUUCAGUGCCCACUCUGCCUUCAGAGAUUCUCGUUGAAGAAUGCCCUGGAGAUACACCAGUGCAUUCAUACAGGUGACCGGCCAUAAAGUUGCACCGUCUGCUCCAGGUCCUCAUCACUUGAACACAUUAAAGAGAGCACAGCAACAUGGUGCUGUAAUGUAGGUCAACACUCUUGUUGAACUAGAGUCUGAAUUACAUAAUAUACUUAUGUGUAGUAUGUUACGUGGUGUGCUACUGCAUCAGGUAGCACAAGUGUCUCUACAUACUCCUGAAAGCAAGCUUUAACUCGAGCCAAACUCCGAUGCCGCCUAUUCAAAUACAUGUAAAACGCAGGAAUAUUUUUCUGAAUAACCAGUGUGUCGAUUAUAACGAAAUUUGUUACAAUUGGAGAGAAAAACCUAAAUUCUGGUGAUUGCUGGCAGCAUAUUUUUGGUUGAAGGCCUGAAUGUUAUAACAGGAAUUUACAAAGAUGGUCCAGCAUGAAAAAAAUUGGAGCUAGAACUUCAUAAAUAUUUAGCUCUGUACCUGGAAUAGAUAUCAUAGUUCGGUAAGCUGCAUAAGCUAGAUCUUUCAAAGCGGACAAAUUUGAUGUAUGAAUUCAUUUCUUUUGUUAAUUUCUUACACUAUUUACGGGGACCUUUCAAAUGUCCUACUCAUUUAUUAUUUAUUUAUUUAUUUACAAACGCUGCUAUCUCAUUUAGAGACAUAGCAGAAGUGGGUUACAUAACUUAUGAACACAAAAAUGUCAACUAACAUGGUUAGGCAGUUCUUUCCGAAAUUGAUUAGUCGGCAAUAAACGCAGAGAACCAACUAAGUUAUUCCAUAAUUCAACAGUGUGUGGAAAAAAAGAAAGCUUAAAACCAUCUAUUAUUGCAAUGAAGAGAGCUAUGUUUAAUGGGUGAAUACGUCAACUUAAUCGCACAGAAGGUGUCAUUAGCAAGGUAGGCGCUUCAUUGUUAGUCGAUCCUUGUAUGAUUUUGUGCUGCAAGAUUAGACGGUCACACGUGCAACGAAACGACAGUGGGUUGAGUGAUAAAGCGUGUGCGUGCGAUGACGGUGAAAACAUACGGUCGUAACUUUUUUCUGAGUGGAUUCUAAUUUGGAAAUAUCCUUCAUGCGAUGAGGCGACCACACUACAGAAGCAUGCUCUAAAACAGGUCUAACUAGUGAUUUAUAGGUUUUAAGCUUGCACUCUUUAGUGCCUUGCUUUAAGGUUCGUUUUAGGCACCCUAAUUUUUGCAGCGCUUUAUAGCAGACUGUAUUGAUAUGAUUAUGCCAACUAAGGGUUGGCAUAACUAAGGUUAGGUUAGUUGUUAAAGUAAGUCCAAAGCAUUUGAACUUGUUAACUUCGUUUAUACUGUACCCUUGAGUGCUGUACGUGAAUUUUAGGGGCUGUUUCUUGUUAGUAAAAGUCAUUGCCACAGUUUUGCUUAAGGUAAUGCUGAUCUGUCAUGUGUUACUCCAGUCUGAAAAUGAUGAAAAUACGUUGUUAAGAACUUCUUGAUCACGAAGAGUACGAAUGUUGCAAUAGAUCACGCAAUCAUCUGUGUAGAGAUAUUUUCACUUGUGUGUUUCUGGCUACUUCAAUAAUGUCAUUAACAUAUAUGAUGAAUAAGAGCGGCCCGAGAACUGAGCCCUGCAGCACCCCUGAGAUGACCUGAGCUAUAGAAGAGGUUUUGCAAUUAAAAGUGACGGAUUGGAGUCGGAGGUGCAGGUAAUCAGAUAUCUAGUCAAUUAGUUUAUUACCAGGAGAGAUUGCAGCAAGUUGUAGUAGUUUUCAAUGGCUUACCCUGUGAAGUGCUUUUGAGUAGUCGAAAAAGAUGGCAUCAAGCUGACCGCGGUUAUUUAGUGAUGUGACUAUGUCAUGCGUAAAUUCUAAUAAUUGCCCUGUAGAAAAUCCUGCUCGAAAACCAUGCUGCUGUGGGGAUAGAAAGUUUUUUGCUGAUAAAUACUGAAUGAUGUGCUCGAGAAGUUUGCAACAUGUGGGCAGCUAGUGAUUAGCUGUUUGCUGCCAGAUUUGAAGAUUGGUAUGAUGUUAGCUUGUUUUCAAACCUGUGGAACUUAGAGACAUCUUAAGAGAUUUGUUAAAUAUAACUGUCAAGUACCGAGUAUUCCCUUCAGAGUAUCGCUACAAAAAUUUGUUUGGCCCUCCGUCAGCUCCAAACCUUUUUGUAGUAUCAAUUGUUAGUAAUAAGUUAUGAACACAAGCGUUAGCUAUAACGAGAGCAGGACGCUCUGAUAAAGUGUUGUUGAUGCAAAAAGGGGGACCGACGCCAUCGUCCUGACAAAGUACAGACUCAAAAUAAGCAUUGAAAGUUUUGGAAAUAAUCAGAGGAUCAAAGGAAGGGUGAUCGUUAAUGAUCAAUGAUGAAGUGUCAUGAGCAGCCGCAUGCACCGUUUUGAAAACUUAGAUGCGUUUUCUUUCAAGAAUGUUGAUAACAAGGUGUCGAAAUAAAAGUGUCUGGCUUUGUGCAUUUUUGGUUUUAAUUCGGACUGAAGCUGGUGCAGUAUUGAGCAUUGGUUGCUAUGACUCACAUUGUUAUGUUUCCGGAGCCUCUUGAUGCCCCUGAUAAGAUGAAUAAUGUCCCCAUUAUACCAAGCGUGCUUCAGGCUGCGUUUCACACACUUCUUGGGAACAAGCUGCAAGAUGCAUUUCUUAAGAAUGUUGCAGAACAUAUCAAACAACUUGUCCACACUGCAAAUGCUGCUACAUUGUAGAAAAGCGUCAGAAGAGGAUGCUAGAAUAUUACCAAUAGAAUUGUAAUCAGCAUGGGAAAAAUUAUUGACAAUCUGAAAAGCAAGUCUAUUGCACUCACAAGUGACAUCAACCUUCAGCAGAACUCCUGUGUGAUCGGACAGGCCUUCUAUGAUUUGGCAGCCCUAUCCAUUUUGUAUUAACCUUUGGUUAAGGAAAAUCAGGUCUAGGAUCGAGCUCUCUCGGGUAACGCUACUAACAAUCUGUCAGAUCUAACAACAAAACCAAAGUCAAUAAGCGAGUCACAAAUCGGCCUGUCACGUCCAUACGAAGUCAAUGUACUCCAGUUAAUACAAGGGGUAUUGAAAUCACCAGCAAGGAUCAAUUUACAGUCGUGAAGCUUGUGUUUUAAUAUAUAAUUGCAACAAUCUAGGAAUCUACUUUUUUUUUUUGGAAUCAGGAGGCGGGUAUAAAGUGCCAGUAGCCACCACAAGAUCACCUAUUUAUAAUUUGCACCAUACCGACUCUGUGUUAAGAAGACUCGGUAUCACUACAAAAUCAAUGCCUUUGUGAAUAAAUAAAACUACUCCGCCGCCCCUACCUCUUAACCUGUCACAUCGCAAGACAGAGUAAUUAGGAGGCACAAACUCACCUUCCGUGACCAAGUCAUUUAGCCAGGUCUCAGU